GGUCCUCCCGGCCCUUAGAUCUAGAUCGCUCAAAUAAUUUUAAUUUAUUUAAUUAUUAGCCGUUACAACUGUCAUCUUCUCUGCUUAUUUAGAAGUAUUUCAUCAAUUCGAGACGAAGAUUUAACCCCAGGGUCAACGAGAAUCAAGAAGAAGCCAUGGGAAGUGCAGGGAAACCGAAGUUCAGAGUGGAUCUUUACAGAACGAACUGUUGGAAGAUGGCUUGGAACAUGCGGUCAUGCUGUACACGUGGCGAUGUUGCUCUGGAGCCAUACUGCAAUCAAAGUCCAAUGAGCAGCCGAACUGGGUGGAAAUCUAUGAAAAGACUGUUGAAGUAUUAGCUCCUGAAGUGAACAAGCUGCUAAAUAUCAUGUAUUUUCAGAUUUAAAAACAUAUCAAAAUGGCGCCAGAGCCACUGGAUAUCUCUGAGCAUGAGUUGCUCUUCAAAGCAACCAAUUUAUCCAAACUGGCCUCCAUAGAUUUGUCUCAGGAGGACAGGUCAAGAGUUGAAAUAUUUGCCGAGUAUUGUGCCAAGAAGCGAGAACCUAUUUGCGGUCAGUUUUUGAACUUGUUGAAUGGAUCUGAUGGAUUCAUUGUGAAUAUGUCUGCCAGAAUAAUCGCCAAGAUUGCCUGUUGGAACCCAUCUGCCAAUUUACUUGACAGCUCUGAUUUCACUUUUACCUGAAUCGGUUGAAUGGACAAUUAAAAUUGAGUGGAGAGGACUUCUUUUUGUCGGAAGAUGCUUGCAAGUAGUUCUUCGUCACGAUGAAUAUCGUUUGGCUUUCAUCAAAGUUGGAGGGCCUUCAACAUUGUUGAAAGUUCUUGCCUCCGGACAAGUAAAUUUCCAAAUUCAGUACCAACUUAUGUUCUGUCUUCGGUUACUGCCUUUCAACCCUAAAUUUGCUCAAAAAAUGAACAAAUUAGGCGUCAUUCCAAUCCUAGCAGAUAUUCUCAGUGACUCUGUGAGAGAAGAAGUUACCCGCAUCAUCUUGGCUGUAUGUAUUCAGGGGAGUAUCUAGGACGCCAGCUGGAAAAAGAGCAAGGAUCAACAACUACUACAGCAAAAUCUGCAGCUGGAGUACUCGCUGGUAAAAUAUCAUAAGAUUAUCUGGAGGAAGUUGGCUCCCCAUAGUGGAGAGGAAAAAAUGCUGCUGUUAUUUGGUGUCAAUCAAUUCUGGUGCCCUUUUAAUUCUUUCUUGAGAAUGAUUUUUUCUCAAAAGGGACUCAUGCUGAUAUCUUGGCAACUAGUUGUGUAUUAAAAAAGUAUGAUGGUGGCACUUUCUCAACUCAUUUAUUGAAAGUAAAUUUUCCAGAUUUGUUGUCUUAAA